GCCGAUGUGGUGGCAGGCACCUGCAGUCCCAGCUACUUGGGAGGCUGAAGCAGGAGGAUCGCUUGAGCCCAGGAGUUUUGAGGUGUAGUGAGCUAUGCCCACUGGGUGUCCACACUAAGUCGACAUCAACAUGGUGAUCUCCCAGGAGCAGAGGACUACCCGGUUGCCUGAGGAGAGGUAAACUGGCCCAGGGUGGAAACACAGCAGGUCAAAACUCCCAUGCUGAUCAGUAGUGAGAUGUUGCCUGUGAAUAGCCACUGCAAUUCUGCGUGCACAACACAGGGAAACCCCGUUUUCA
rfam:Nomascus leucogenys chromosome 17, whole genome shotgun sequence.